rnacentral:rRNA from 1 species
AGUGAACGCUGGCGGUAGGCCUAACACAUGCCAGUCGAACGGCAGCACAGUAAGAGCUUGCUCUUACGGGUGGCGAGUGGCGGACGGGUGAGGAAUACAUCGGAAUCUACUUUUUCGUGGGGGAUAACGUAGGGAAACUUACGCUAAUACCGCAUACGACCUACGGGUGAAAGCAGGGGAUCUUCGGACCUUGCGCGAUUGAAUGAGCCGAUGUCGGAUUAGCUAGUUGGCGGGGUAAAGGCCCACCAAGGCGACGAUCCGUAGCUGGUCUGAGAGGAUGAUCAGCCACACUGGAACUGAGACACGGACCAGACUCCUACGGGAGGCAGCAGUGGGGAAUAUGGGACAAUGGGCGCAAGCCUGAUCCAGCCAUACCGCGUGUGUGAAGAAGGCCUUCGGGUUGUAAAGCCCUUUUGUUGGGAAAGAAAAGCAGCAGGUUAAUACCCCGCUGUUCUGACGGUACCCAAAGAAUAAGCACCGGCUAACUUCGUG